GGGCAAUUAGCUCAGUUGGUUAGAGCUACCGGCUCAUAACCGGUUGGUCCUGGGUUCGAGUCCCCGAUUGCCCACCA
rnacentral:tRNA from 1 species